GUCUUAAUUGGGCGUUAAGUUGCAGGGUAUAGACCCGAAACCCGGUGAUCUAGCCAUGGGCAGGUUGAAGGUUGGGUAACACUAACUGGAGGACCGAACCGACUAAUGUUGAAAAAUUAGCGGAUGACCUGUGGCUGGGGGUGAAAGGCCAAUCAAACCGGGAGAUAGCUGGUUCUCCCCGAAAGCUAUUUAGGUAGCGCCUCGUGAAUUCAUCUCCGGGGGUAGAGCACUGUUUCGGCUAGGGGGCCAUCCCGGCUUACCAACCCGAUGCAAACUGCGAAUACCGGAGAAUGUUAUCACGGGAGACACACGGCGGGUGCUAACGUCCGUCGUGAAGAGGGAAACAACCCAGACCGCCAGCUAAGGUCCCAAAGUCAUGGUUAAGUGGGAAACGAUGUGGGAAGGCCCAGACAGCCAGGAUGUUGGCUUAGAAGCAGCCAUCAUUUAAAGAAAGCGUAAUAGCUCACUGGUCGAGUCGGCCUGCGCGGAAGAUGUAACGGGGCUAAACCAUG
rnacentral:rRNA from 4 species